rnacentral:rRNA from 1 species
GAUUAUGGCUCAGGAUGAACGCUGGCGGCGUGCCUAAUACAUGCAAGUCGAACGAAGUACUUCGGUAACUUAGUGGCGAACGGGUGAGUAACACAUGAACAACCUACCCUGACGACAGGGAUAACAGUUUGAAAAGACUGCUAAUACCUGAUAGGUGUAACGGGGACAUCCCUGAUACAUUAAAGUUGGGAUACAACGCGACAGGAUGGGUUCAUGUCGCAUUAGCUAGUUGGCGGGGUAACGGCCCACCAAGGCGAUGAUGCGUAGCCGAUCUGAGAGGAUGAACGGCCACAUUGGGACUGAGACACGGCCCAGACUCCUACGGGGGGCAGCAGUAGGGAAUUUUCGGCAAUGGGCGGAAGCCUGACCGAGCAACGCCGCGUGAACGAAGAACCGGUCUUUGGAUUGUAAAGUUCUGUUACGAGGGAAGAACGGCAGUGAUAGGGAAUGAUCACUGAGUGACGGUACCUCGCCAGAAAGCCACGGCUAACUACGUGCCAGCCGCGGC